AACCCAUGUCCUCAUGGAUACUAGUUGGUUUCGUUACUGCUGAGCCACGAUGGGAACGCCAGGACUCCAUCCCUUUAUUAGCUUUUUACUUGGUCUGACCUCUUGCUUCUCUAUACCACUUUUGCCCAGGACAGAGAUCUGGGGCUUGGGUGGGAAAAGGACAAGAUUUGAAGCAAGAAGCUCUAGGCUGGAAUCAGGUUGGGUUCCAGCACCAGUGCAGUGAUUCUUUCAACCAACCUGUAUUUAUCGAGCAUCUCGGCCAUGCACUGUGCCUGGAGCUGGAAAGAUGACAAGUGCCGACCUUUGUGGAGCUUAUGGUCUAGGGGAGGCUGGGAGAGAAAGACAACAAACAGGUAAACAAGGGCAAUGAAAAAAAGAAUGCAGGGCUGACAAGAGGAUCAUGUGCCUGAGAUGCAGGCCCCUUCCUGCGAAUACGACCCUAAAGACGCCACUGAAGCAAGAAGAAAGCUGACAAGGACUGAAAAACGAAUGUAACAACCAUGAGGAGUGCCCUUCCCGACCCUGCCUUCCUGGACUAGUGGGAGGUUUGGUUGCGAUGCCUGGGAAAGAAAGAGAAGCCCCUGGAGUUUCCUAGUGGCCUAGCGGUUAAGGAUGAGAGCUGGGUGCCAUACCAAAUGACUUUGCUCCGCCCCCGUGAGUCUCCAUAGAUCAUUGCCCAGCUCCAGCCUCAUUCCCCUCUUCCUCCCCCUCAUGGCACUGGAAGCAGAUGAAAGCUGUUCUAGCUUGAGGAUAACAUCAGUUCAGGUUAGAAGUACAAACAACUAGACCUGUAGCAGGCCGUUCUUUCCCCUGCCUCAGUCAGGGCCUUCCACCCACAAGUCCUAGUUCAUGAAAAGAUCAGUGGCCAGGAGAGUGUGCCCAGAAGUUCCCUAAAAGUGGUGCCUGGUAGUAGCGCGGUGGCAGUGACAGGUGGGGAAUAGCCAGAUUCACACUGUAAUGCCAGAGGCAAUGCCUAUGCCCAUCCAUAUACCUUGAGCUCCCUACGGUGGAUCCAAGAUGAAACCUAAGCUUUAAUCUCAUUCUGCUUGACCCACUGUCUCCAAGGUAGCUGAUAUCCUGGGGAACACAAGCUCACUGAGAAAAUUAAGUGGAUUUCUGGAAAGCAUAAGACAGUGCAGAAAUUAAUUGUACAUGAAAUAAUGUUUGUUUCAGUUGCUAAUAAAACAGAUUCCAAGUAACAGUGGCAUAAACACAGUAAAAGUUUGUUUUCCUCUCUUGUAGAAGUUUGGAGGUGGACAGAUGAUGGCUGAUACAAUAGCUCUGUUUUCCUAGGUCUUUAAGGACUCAGGUUUCAUUCCAGAUCACUAGUCCCCUAUCUCGUCUCCAUGGUUCAACCUGGCAGCGAAAGCUCCAGCCAUCACCUCUGUGUUCCAGGCAGCUGGGUAUCAGAACGUUGAGGAAGGAACAAAAAUCAAUUGACUUCAGGUUUCUUAACAGCAACACUGGAUUUAAGAAGACAGUUGAAUAAAACUUUUAAAGGAUGAAAGAGGGAGAACUUUGAACCAAGAUUUUGAUCUCUAGCUAAAUUACCAGGUAUAUAAUUAGCAGCCCCUCUUUGAAAGCACUGUUGAAGGAAGCAUUCCAGCAAGAAGAGAAAUAGCAACAAGUGUGCUCAAACAGCAACCGGUUUAGCAACAGAGAUAUAAAGGGAAACUAGGGCUCCUGCAACAAUCUGCUUCUUCACGUUCCCUCCAACGGAACUUGGGUGGAGGAGGAACAGAAAAGUGUUGACAUGGAAAAAACGAGAAGUGGGAAUUCCCGUCGUGGCUCCGUGGCAUGGACCUGGUACGGAUCAACAUCUGAAAGUUCUAGUUUGAGAGGCAAACCUGAGAAGAAUAGUCUGCUGUCACGGAAGCUGAUUAGAGCCUCCACUGGCCUCCAGCUCCCUCAGCAAACAACACAUACUACAAGGACCUGACAACCCAGUGUCUGCUUACAG